UGGGGAAUAUUGGACAAUGGGCGAAAGCCUGAUCCAGCCAUGCCGCGUGUGUGAAGAAGGUCUUCGGAUUGUAAAGCACUUUAAGUUGGGAGGAAGGGCAGUAAGCUAAUACCUUGCUGUUUUGACGGUACCGACAGAAUAAGCACCGGCUAACUCUGUGCCGG
rnacentral:rRNA from 1 species